UACGUAGGGCGCAAGCGUUAUCCGGAAUUAUUGGGCGUAAAGAGCUCGUAGGUGGUUUGUCGCGUUGUUCGUGAAAACUCACAGCUCAACUGUGGGCGUGCGGGCGAUACGGGGCAGACUAGAGUACCGCAGGGGGAGACUGGAAUUCCUGGUGUAGCGGUGAAAUGCGCAGAUAUCAGGAGGAACACCGAUGGCGAAGGCAGGUCUCUGGGCAUUAACUGACGUGAGGAGCGAAAAGCAUGGGGGAGCGA
rnacentral:rRNA from 1 species